rnacentral:rRNA from 1 species
GUAGGGGGCAAGCGUUAUCCGGAUUUACUGGGUGUAAAGGGAGCGUAGGCGGUGCGGCAAGUCAGAAGUGAAAGCCCGGGGCUCAACUCCGGGACUGCUUUUGAAACUGUCGGACUGGAGUGUCGGAGAGGUAAGUGGAAUUCCUAGUGUAGCGGUGAAAUGCGUAGAUAUUAGGAGGAACACCAGUGGCGAAGGCGGCUUACUGGACGAUCACUGACGCUGAGGCUCGAAAGCGUGGGGAGCAAA